rnacentral:rRNA from 1 species
GACGAACGCUGGCGGCGUGCCUAAUACAUGCAAGUCGAGCGAAUCAAUAGGAGCUUGCUCCUGUUGGUUAGCGGCGGACGGGUGAGUAACACGUGGGCAACCUGCCUGUAAGACUGGGAUAACAUCGGGAAACCGAUGCUAAUACCGGAUAAUUCAUUCCCUCUCAUGAGGGAAUGUUGAAAGUCGGUUUCGGCUGACACUUACAGAUGGGCCCGCGGCGCAUUAGCUAGUUGGUGAGGUAACGGGUAACCAAGGUGACGAUGCGUAGCCGACCUGGGACGGGGAGCGGCCCGACGGGGCCUGAGACACGGCCCAGACUCCUACGGGAGGCAGCAGUAGGGAAUCUUCCACGAUGGACGAAAGUCUGAGGGAGAAACGCCGCGGAAGCGAUGAAGGCCUUCGGGUCGUAAAGCUCUGUUGUUAGGGAAGAACAUGUACCGGAGUAACUGCCGGUACCUUGACGGUACCUAACCAGAAAGCCACGGCUAACUACGUGCCAGCCGCCGCGGUAA